rnacentral:tRNA from 1 species
GGGUCUGUAGCUCAGUUGGUUAGAGCGCACCCCUGAUAAGGGUGAGGUCGGAAGUUNCAACUCUUCCCAGACCCA